rnacentral:rRNA from 1 species
AUUGAACGCUGGCGGCAUGCCUUACACAUGCAAGUCGAACGGCAGCACGGGGCAACCUGGUGGCGAGUGGCGAACGGGUGAGUAAUGCAUCGGAACGUACCUUUCAGUGGGGGAUAACGUAGCGAAAGUUACGCUAAUACCGCAUAUUCUGUGAGCAGGAAAGCAGGGGAUCGCAAGACCUUGCGCUGAUUGAGCGGCCGAUGUCAGAUUAGCUAGUUGGUGAGGUAAAGGCUCACCAAGGCGACGAUCUGUAGCGGGUCUGAGAGGAUGAUCCGCCACACUGGAACGGAGACACGGUACAGACGCCGACGGGAGGCAGCAGUGGGGAAUUUUGGACAAUGGGGGCAACCCUGAUCCAGCCAUGCCGCGUGAGUGAAGAAGGGCUUCGGGUUGUAAAGCUCUUUCGGCCGGGAAGAAAUCGCACGGGCUAAUACCCUGUGUGGAUGACGGUACCGGAAUAAGAAGCACCGGCUAACUACGUGCCAGCAGCCGCGGUAA